UACGUAGGGUGCGAGCGUUAAUCGGAAUUACUGGGCGUAAAGCGUGCGCAGGCGGUUGUGCAAGACAGAUGUGAAAUCCCCGGGCUUAACCUGGGAACUGCAUUUUGUGACUGCACGGCUAGAGUGUGUCAGAGGGAGGUGGAAUUCCGCGUGUAGCAGUGAAAUGCGUAGAGAUGCGGAGGAACACCGAUGGCGAAGGCAGCCUCCUGGGAUAACACUGACGCUCAGGCACGAAAAGCGUGGGGGAGCAAACGAGG
rnacentral:rRNA from 1 species